GUAGAUCCUGUAUCUCUGUCUGUGAGUCGCCUGAAGGAGCCAGCAACAACAUCUCACCAGCAACCUUCAAGCAGUGAGCCUGCACAGGAAAGCAAUGUAAGCAAAUGUCUUAUGAUGGAGAACAGAGGAGAGGAAACCAUCCAGACAAUAUUCAUUAGUGACGCUGAUGACAGGGGCUGGUCUGAAGAUCAGGAGGGGUGUGUUGCAGACAUCAACCAAUCAACCUAAAGUUCCACAAGCGAAAGAGUCUUUUGAAUGUGAG